rnacentral:sRNA from 1 species
UGACGCGGCUUUUUGGAAUUGGUCAUGGGAUGAGUUGGCUAGUUAUGAUCUUCCUGCUUUCGUGAAGUAUGUGCAUAACAACACUGCUCAGAAAAUUCACUAUGUUGGCCAUUCCUUGGGAACCUUAAUGGCUUUUACUGCUUUCUCUAGGGGACAAGUGUUGGACAGGUUGAGAUCAGCUGCAUUGCUUUCCCCAAUUGCUCAUAUGCGUCAAGUUAAUUCACC